UUACAGCGCAGCUGUAACCUGUGCAGUUCUUCAGGCUGUUGUAAGAAAGAGCUGUGAGAAGCUGGGUCCUGCCCUGUCUUUGCUCAGGAGCCGCGUUUAAGCAGAGGGUCUUGGCACUGGCCCCACGCGAGCUACGCUGAAGGUGCUUCAUGAAAAUCUGCACUAAAACCCGGGGGAUGACUCAUACAAAUGUCUGCAGACGCAGGCACAAUUCUUCUAUUCUAAGUAUUUUCUACAGAUAGUUCCAGCCACAGCCCUACAACUCUGGGAUUACAGGUCAAGAUGGGGAGUAACAAUAUUUUUGAGACGUGCUGGCUGGCUUCCAUGAAAUUAGAGUUUUGAUGUUGCCAGGGUCAAAGAUCAGCUCACCCAAACAGACUGAGAAAUGUGGGCAUUAUGAGAGAUCUGCUUGGGAGCAACUCCACCUGGAGAACAGCUAACAUUCAGUAGGAAACAAAAACAUGAA